AGCCAACCCUAACAGCCGCAAGCUGACCGCCAACCACCCUCCCUCGUCGUCGACGACCGCCCGCGGCCACGUCCGCGCCAUCUUCCCCGCCCGCGCUCAGAGCAAAUGGAUUCUUAUUGGCAGUGGUGCGCAGACUAUGGAUAGUAUAGGUGCAAGGAUAAAAAGUUUUAUAUUCUUUUCGAGGAGGAUUAUAAAACUAUGUCGGGUAUCCUGUGCAGUGUAAGGCGUGACUUCAUGAAGCACAUAUAUAGAAACAUUAACCAUUUGGGAAUAUUUGAAGUUGUCAUCCAGCAGAACACACUAUCCACACCGGACAUGAUCUUGUUGUUGAAGUCACCAAUGAGGCGAAUCGAACAAAUUUCCACGGGCGUAGUUGGAAGGAGAUGAUAGAAUGCUACGGGAUGGAGCCAGGGACUAAGUUAUAUUUCUACUUGAAUGGCUUAUGCAGGGAGACCUUCUUCCACUACAAAUAGCGGAAGGACGCCUCCUCAUCUGAUAAUGAUUUCCGCCAUCCAAGGGAUUCCGACGGGGUUGUUGUUUAUUACCCACCCAUGGAGCCGGAGCCGGGUCGGGGGAGUGAUUUGGUCACUUGGCUAUUGUGCUCAUUGUAUAUAAUGACUUGGUCGCUAGCUUGGUAGGCUUUAGCUAGUGUAAUGAUUGGAUUACUAUAUUAUGCUCAAUGCAUGUAAUGACUUGACCACUUGCGAUGACUCUCUAGUGUUAUUAAUGAUUUGAUCACUUGGCUAUUAUA